UACGUAGGGGGCAAGCGUUGUCCGGAAUUAUUGGGCGUAAAGGGCUCGUAGGCGGUUUGUCGCGUCGGGAGUGAAAACACUGGGCUUAACCGAGUGCUUGCUUUCGAUACGGGCAGACUUGAGGCAUUGAGGGGAGAACGGAAUUCCUGGUGUAGCGGUGAAAUGCGCAGAUAUCAGGAGGAACACCGGUGGCGAAGGCGGUUCUCUGGGCCGAUACUGACACUGAGGAGCGAAAGCGUGGGGAGCGAACAGG
rnacentral:rRNA from 1 species